rnacentral:lncRNA from 1 species
UUUUUUAAACUUCAAUUUAUUAACCAUCAUUUCUUUUAAUCACUAGAUGUCAGGUGGAGUGCUAAGCAUUUUAAUCUCAUUCAAUCCUAUAAUCCUGGGAGGCAUAGCAAACGAUGUCUAUUUCACAGUUAGAUAGACUGAGGAUCAGCAAGUUUAAGGGACUCGCCAAAGUCCCUUAAAUUAGAAAAUCCCGAAGGUGCAGGGACUAGUGCUAUGCCUGGCUGGAAGCAGGGGCCAAAGAUACUUGGGAACUGAUAGACGGAAGCUGAGAGGAGAGAACCUCCUGUAUGGAGGCGAUUUUAUAAAGCACGUGUCCGAGAACGUGAGGGCUGAGGGGUGGUUCUGUUGUCCUGGAAACCACCCCAGCUCCUUCUUCCUGAAGGAGGGGAGGCCUUCCUGUGGGUCUUCCUCUACCAUUCAUUGUCUCCUGCCACCAGGCCCCUUCCUCACUCCCCACCCCAGUGAGAGGAAAGGUCCAGCACGUAGCCCCUAAGGGUGGAGCUGGUUGUCUGGGUGGUUUGAUUUGCUCUGUGUUCUAUAGCAAGGCGGAUUUUUAAGUGAGUUUUGAAAUCCCUCCAUUUACUCAGUUCAUUUAUUGCUGUUGAGACAAAUGAACUUGAUUUUAAAAACAUCCAGUGAGUGCCUCACGUUGCCACUGGGAGGCACGCGGCAGAGUGAGAAUCCCUGGGAGGCUGCAGGCCUCUGGAAACCCAGGCGAUGAACUGGGUAUACCCCUCGGUUUGCCGGUCCCUCCUGGGAGACGUUGUGAUCCAUGGCAGAGAGGGGCUCUCCUUCCUGGUGGACCCUCUGGCCCUUCCUUCCCGUGUGGCCAGCCUCAUUUCCCCAGCUUUGUUGUUUCUAGCACAAGUCGUCAUGAGGGCCGUGACGUGACAUUUUGUACAGCCUGUGACAGGCCUUUCUCGACUUCCCGGGUCAUCACAACAGUGCCAAGAGGAUAGCAGAGGGAGAUCCUUAUGACGCCUCGCUUACAGAAGUUCAGAGAGGUUUACAAAACUAGGGAACUGAGACACUGAGAUGGGAACCCGAUGUCUCAUGCUUGGUGGGGACAGUGUGGAUAGGUUGCCCAUCAGCAGCUAAUUAACAUCUCUCGGAGGACGCUCUCGCUGGGUUAUUCUCUCAUCUGCUCACCCUAGUUUGUGUUUUCUUCCCCAAAGAGCUAUAAACAACCAACGGGAAGGAAACUUGUCUUAUGUCACUGCCCACACAUUAGUGGCCUCUCCUAUAUGCCAAACACGGUGAGUGGUAUUAUUAGGGGAGGUACUAGGGAUGCCACGAUGAAUGAAAUAAACACACUUCGACCCUCGGAAGAUGUUUAGUUGGAUGGAAUAAUAAUAUUUUACAAGUUUGGGAAUUUUUGUUCUACCUUAAGUUUUAUGUGGCACUGAGAUACAGAGUGACCUGGAACUUGGUUUAGAAUAGGAGAGCUGGGGUUCCCAGGGAUUCCCUUAAAGAGACUGGCCCAGGCUGAACCGACACUGAAGAUGCUAACAGACUAUAAGCUUGGCUCUUGAUGUUACGCAGAUUCCACUUCCAGCACGGCCACUUUUGUGGUCAUGACAAGCUAUUUGCCUUUGAAGCUUGGUUUCUGCGUCUGUAAUGUAGGAGCAAUGGUAACCAGUUCCCCGUUUUGUUAUGUGGAUCAACUAUAAAAAUGGAUAAAUAUAAAAAUAAAUGAAUUUCAAAAUAAAUAGUGAAUUUAUAUAAUUUAUAAGUGAAUUUAUAAAUAAAUACCUGACCCAUUGUGAGAGCUCAAUAAACAGCAGCUGUUAUCAUUAUUAAUCAUAAUUGGACGCUGCCCAGUGCAGGGAUUUAUGUUUCUAUUUUGGUGGCCUCUCCUUCCCUUUAAGUUCCUGAGAGUCACAUGCCCUAGAUCCUCUCUGUUCCAGUUCUCCACAGUGCCAGGAACAGAGACCACUCACAUGAGCAGCCACAGGGUCCAUCUCUGUGACCAGUGGACGCCAGUGGCUUCCUCAUCAGAAAUGAAGUCAAGCAAAGCGUCAGAACUCAGAAGCCACCCACAGGCUUCUGAACCCUGCCAAGCCCUCGUGCCCACCGGAGCAGCCAGGGAAAGGGGGGUGACUAUGGCAUAAACACACGUUUGCUUUCAUUUGGCUUAGCUGACUGUGUGUUUUGUUAAACAAAUUUAGGUUUGGAAAAGAUUAUUUUUGGUACACUGCUG